rnacentral:SRP_RNA from 1 species
GCCGGGCACGGUGGUGCGUGCCUGUAGUCCCAGCUACUCGGGAGGCUGAGGUGGGAGGAUCACUUGAGCCCAGGAGUUCUGGGCUGUAGUGCACUAUGCCGAUCAGGUGUCCGCACUAAGUUCAGCAUCAAUAUGGUGACCUCCCAGGAGCGGGGGACCACCAGGUUGCAUAAGGAGGGGUGAACCAGCCCAGGUCAGAAACAGAGCAGGUCAAAACUCCCAUGCUGAUCAGUAGUGGGAUCGUGCCUGUGAAUAGCCACUGCACUCCAGCCUGGGCAACAUAGUGAGACCCAGUCUCA